rnacentral:tRNA from 1 species
AUGAUGCGUUGCGCCACGCGGCCGGCGAAGUCGUUCUGGAAAAACGACAGGCUCUGCUUGAGCACGUACCGAUGGUUCUGCCAUCGCACCAUG